rnacentral:misc_RNA from 1 species
AACGCACAUUGCGCCCACUGGUAUUCCAGCGGGCAUGCCCGUUCGAGCGUCAUUUCAAUUCCUUCCCGGGGGACUCUUCUACUAAAUUUUUAGUGGAGUUUACCGGGGCGUUGGUACUGGGCGCCACCUUUUACUAGGAGGCGGCCGGAACCGAAAUAAAGUGGCGGACGCGCAGCGGCCCCUAGCGCAGUAGAACAUCCUUCUCGCUUGGGAGACCUGCAGCAGUGGACCAUAGCCCUAUAUAUACAAAGCUAUAUAUAAAACUUGACCUCGAAUCGGGUAGGACUACCCGCUGAACUUAA